GGUCCCUGCAAUGUUCAGCUCCAGGUUGGGCACUGGGGCUGGAGCAGCCUGGGACAGGGGGAGGUGUCCCUGCCAUGGCAGGAGUGGCACUGGAUGAUUUUUAAGAUCCUUCCCCUCCCAUUCCAUGGUUCUCUGUAACUCCCCACCCUUUCCCUUUUCCCACAGCUGGGGCAGGACAAUCCCAUCCCAAAAUUCUUCCAGGCUGAAAAGGGGGCUCAGAGUGCUGGGAAGCCCCUCAAAUAACCAGGCCACAGACCUGGGAUGCUGCUGGGAUUCCAGUCUGCUGCCAGUGGCUCCUCCAGGUGCUCAGACCCAGAGGUUUCCAGUGAAAUUCCAGCCAGGACUCCCUGUUAAGGAGAGAAAUUCCAUCUUUUCCAAAGGCUUUGAGCUGCCACCAGUGCCCCACAAACCCAGCUGGCUCCAAGCAGUGCUGCAGACGAUGCAGUAACAAAAUCAUGGGGUUGUUUAAUGGACUCAGGAGCUACAAAAAGCCUGUCACCAGUGCCACAGCACUGGAAGAACCCAACUGAGACCUUCCAGGACCUGGAGCCAACAAGGAGAUGGAGAGAAAACCAAAGGCAUGGAACAGGCAGGGAGGAUUUGUGCUGCAUGGAUCUCCUGCCUGCUCCUCGUUAUGGAAAACCCAUCAGAAAGAGGGGGAAUAAACAAAGGGAUUUGGGGCCCCAGCAGUGCAAAUAAAAGCAUUGUUAGCGGGGAUGGGUGUUUGGGUUUCUCCCUUCCUCUGGGAGCUGCUGGAGAGGAAGCAGAUUAGGGAUUGCCAGCUCUGGCAAAAUCGACCGGUGGCAUCAGAAUGACCUCAUUAUGGGCUGUAAAUGAGCUCACAGCAUAAUUAUGUGUUCAGGGAAAAAAACACCUCGGGAGCUGCCCACAGGUGUGGGGUUAACCCUU
rnacentral:lncRNA from 1 species